GAAAAACUGAACAUGGACUCUGAAAAUGGAUCACCACAGUGAAAUUGUGCUACUUCGGUGACCUCAUGAAUUGUGUGCUAAAGAAGUUUGUGCCUACAAAUGAAGGAAAUUUCAUUCACACUUGAUUAAUUGGAAUCUGGAGAGCAAGGGCACUGAUGAGGAGAAAAGAUGAAGAUCAAAUUCCUGUGGAAAUAAAAUCCUAAAAACUGGGCUAUCAAUCCAACAGGACAGAUUCCUUAUACAAUAGGUGCCUCUUAAAUUAGGUGCUGUAAAUUAACCAGCUCAACUAAACGUAAGCAGGAUCUUAUCACUGUAAUGCACAAUAACGUCUACAUUAUUAAAAUUCCACUAAAGAAAACUUAGUGUGAGAUAAUGCAGACAUGAAUGAUCAUUUAACAUUAAUCCUGAUGACAGCCAUUUCCACAUUGCUAUUGAAAUUCCCUCCUUCCUACAUUCUCAUUUCCAAAUACAAUACAAACAGCAUGCUCUAAUCAAUCAAAUGUACAUUCACCAUAUUUUUUAUACAAGGCCUUGUAUCUCCGAUAUAUAAGCUGCUGACAAUCAUUUAUCUUUCCUCUUGCUUUGUAGUCUCCCUAAAUGAAAGAACAGUUAGAGAAAGUUGUAGUUUCAGCAGUGAUUUUUACAUUUAGAAUUUGUUUAAUGACAAAUUACUGAUGUUAAUAACAGCCAGACCAAAAGAUUGUCAAGUUUAUCCAGCACAGCAACACCUGACUGUGAUUUUAUUGCUUUGAGAUUUGGUCUAAAUCAGAAUAAACUGCUUUGAUCAGCUCUGCAAAUUGAUUCCAUGCUCCAGGACUGCGUCAUAUGAAGUCAGCAUGAGUUUUCAUUAGAUAUAAGAAAAUAAUUUUUUUACAGUAAGGGUGGUAAAGCAUUGGAACAGUUUGCCCAGAGAGGUGGUGGAUGCCCCAUCCCUUGAGAUACUCCUGGUCAGGCUGAAUGGGGCACUGAGUACCUGAUAGAGCAGUAGGUGUCCCUGCUCACUGCAGUAGAGUUAGACUAGAUGGCCUUAAAGGGUCCCUUCAACUCAAAUGAUUCUAUGAUUGUAUGACCACAUGAUUCUGAACUCUCCUCCAUCCUUAAGUGUAUGGACUGUGUUAGAAUGUUAGUCAUCUCAGGCUAUUUGUAGAUGCUGGGUGUUGGAGAAGUGACAUUUAGCAUAAUUCAGAUCACUUAUGAUGUGACUGGUUUGCUGACAGUGUUUGAGUUCUGUGAUUGUAGAGAUAGUUUAGAAUCGUUUAUCACUUAUGUUCAGGUGGGGUAGACUGGAUAGAAACCUGUUUAUAAAUCUCCAAUAGUUAUAGUGAGGGAGCACAAAAAUCUAUAUUUAGGUUAAGCACAUACAUACAUGGCUUACUUUUCAGAGGGGAAUUAUUGGUAAGAGCAGGCAGUAGUUAACACCACCAAGAGCAGAAAUACACUAGAUCACAUUGGCAAGUUGCCUAGAGAUGUCUUACUUCAGACAUCUUAGGUUGGGAUGAAAUUUCAUUCUUUUGGUAUAAAACAUGUAUGUCUAUAAAGUGUGUAUGUAUGUGGUUGAAGGGACCUUAAAACACUUAGUUACUCUUAUUUCAACAAGUCAAUACGGUGAAACGUGUAAUAUGUCAAGAACAAUAGAGAUUAUAAAUAUUUUAUCAAAAUGUGAGUUAUUUCUAAAUAUUAUCUAUCAAAAUAAUUUUACUGGUCUCCAAAGAGGUCAGGAUAAGGGAGGGCAUUUAUUACUAAAAAUAAGAACAGGGCUUUUUUCUGAAAUCUCCCACGCAGAGUAGUGUAAUGGUAUCACUGCAAAUUUUGCUUAGAAGAUCAUUUGAUAUAAAUGUAGGUUUCUUCGCUUUCCACCCCCCUCUCCCUCCCCCCCCCCCCCCCCCCCCCCCAAAAAAAAAAAAAAGCCAGUUUAACAUAGAUACUUCAUGGAAUAAUUUUCUAAAUGCAGACAGCAUUUAAUUCGGUCUCUGUCAGAAGAUGUAUGUGAAGAUUUUAAAAGCUGAGAUUUUAAAUGACGGAGAAAAAAAUAAAACUAACAUUUUUAUCACAAUUAACAG
ensembl:lncRNA